rnacentral:lncRNA from 1 species
GUAUAUUUGUAUAUACAAGCAUAUGCAAAUGUGUUUUACGUUUAGAAAAGAUACGACAUGCAUGCGGCGAAACAUGAGAAAACAAAAAACGCUCGAUGCCGCUGAAAGGGAGACGCGAAGGGAGAGACACAAGGAUAAGGUCCGGCAGGGUCGCUAUUCCCCCCUAAACUCGCCCGCCACAGUAGGUUCACGCCGAAACGCACCCACAAACGGGCGACGUCGAUGCGCACCGGAAGAAGAGCGACGGCCAGAGAAAUAAAGGCGAUCGGAUCCGAGACCGGAUCGGUCGUACGCUCCGUUCACUGUGCGAGGGAGACGACGGGAGCCCCGCCCCGCCCCCUCUCUCUUCGGGGCAAGCCAACGGCGGCGUCCGUGGGGGGAAAGCGGCUUUCGUAGUGGCCGUCGUGGGAGCUCCUGUCGCCGCGACGCGACGGGACGCGUGGUCUGUGGCCGCUGCGAGAAUCGUCGAUCGCGACGGGCGGAAGCAGGAAACUGUCCGCGGGCCGCGGGUGGGAGGGCUAAUCUGGAUGCGGGAAUGCCCACGUGUGCCGUUCGCGUCCGCGGGAUAUGGACGGGUCGCGUGGGAGGCUUUUGGGCGAAGAGAUCUCCUAGGGGUGCCUAACCAUGAGAUCCUGUCCUGCAAUCAUCUCAGCUCCAACUGUGGAUGUGUCCUUCAGGAAAGAGUAUCGUCAACUGUGAUACAGCCAUUCUUUUUUUUUUUG